AUUGAACGCUGGCGGCAUGCCUUACACAUGCAAGUCGAACGGCAGCGGGGGAGAAGCUUGCUUUUCCUGCCGGCGAGUGGCGAACGGGUGAGUAAUACAUCGGAACGUGCCCUGUAGUGGGGGAUAACUAGUCGAAAGAUUAGCUAAUACCGCAUACGACCUGAGGGUGAAAGUGGGGGACCGCAAGGCCUCAUGCUAUAGGAGCGGCCGAUGUCUGAUUAGCUAGUUGGUGGGGUAAAGGCCUACCAAGGCGACGAUCAGUAGCUGGUGUGAGAGGACGAUCAGCCACACUGGGACUGAGACACGGCCCAGACUCCUACGGGAGGCAGCAGUGGGGAACUUUGGACAAUGGGCGAAAGCCUGAUCCAGCAAUGCCGCGUGUGUGAAGAAGGCCUUCGGGUUGUAAAGCACUUUUGUCCGGAAAGAAAUGGCUCUGGUUAAUACCUGGGGUCGAUGACGGUAUCGGAAGAAUAAGGACCGGCUAACUACGUGCCAGCAGCCGCGGUAA
rnacentral:rRNA from 1 species